UACGAAGGGUGCAAGCGUUACUCGGAAUUACUGGGCGUAAAGCGUGCGUAGGUGGUUUGUUAAGUCUGAUGUGAAAGCCCUGGGCUCAACCUGGGAACUGCAUUGGAAACUGGCUGACUAGAGUGCGGUAGAGGGGUGUGGAAUUCCCGGUGUAGCAGUGAAAUGCGUAGAGAUCGGGAGGAACAUCUGUGGCGAAGGCGGCCAUCUGGACCAGCACUGACACUGAGGCACGAAAGCGUGGGGAGCAAACAGGG
rnacentral:rRNA from 1 species